GUGAGUAAAAUUGCAUCUGCUUUUAUAAUUCAUCCUUUUCAGCUGAAACACCAAUUUAGAGCUUAUUUAUGACAUUGUUCUAUAGUGAAACGAGAAACUGCCACAAAGUGUUUAAAAAGGAAGGGCUUUCCCAGACAUCCGAUUUGUAAUUUUCUCUUGUGAAAAAAAUAUAAAAAAAAUUUUUUUUAACUUUUCUGUGUGAAUAUAAUUAGCGAUAGUAAUUCCUGUGAGCAAACUUUCAAAACAUUUAAGCUAAAUCGUGAAAACAUGUAAUGAAACCUGGGAAACUUUCCUAUGUUGAAAUAUGUUGCAUUUAUCUGUGAACAAUGCAAAGUAUUAUUGAUACUGAUUGGUGUUUAGAGAAACUACACUCGACUUUCAACUCGGCUGUAAUUACAGGCACCGUGACGUACAUAAAAUGCAGGUACUUACUCACAUCUGCAGACUCUAUUGAGUGUAACUAUUAGAAGACAAACUUCAUUUUGCAAACUGUAAUUUAAUGGUAUAACAGUGUGCAGACCAGAAUAUCAGUUAAUUUUCAAAACAUUUUAUUCUACACCAAUUAGCUCAGGUCCUGGAGGGCAAAAUGACAAGAGGUUACUCGUUCACUAUGUAUUUAAUUAAUUGAAAAAUGCUCAAAUUGCUUUUACAGUUGUUAUUAAAAAGUAGAAUCAGUGUUGCCAGUGCUCAACCAUAAUUGGAACCCCAGGGAAUUAAAUAUUUAGCAUUAGUAAUGUAACAGCACUUAGGACACAAAUUUCUAUUUUCGUAAUGAAAGCUAUACACUGUGAGUGCAAGCGGCUGAAACGACAGCUGUGACAAGUGAAAUGGCCUGGGAUAUUUCAAUAAGACACCUCAUUGGACAGCAAGUCUUACCACAUUACUAGUUUGUAAGAGAUCUGCAAGUUUAAUUCCCAAUAGAAACCCGUUACCCAAGUAUUUAGAUUUCUAAUUGCAUGCAGGAUGAACAAUUGGGCAAAUGUCUUGCCAUAAGUGGCUGAAAUGUAUAGUGCUUGCUAAAUAAUCCUAUAUAAGUUCAUGCCUUUGUCAAUUUAAAAAUAGCGGGACUGUCAGGGAAUAAAGAUCUUGUUUGUUUUAAGUUUAAUUACAUUUUAAGCAUAAAUGCUCUCAGUGCUACAGUGAGAAAAGUUGGAUAUUGGGCUCUAAUGAGCUGCAGGGGUAGACGGCUAGAGACCCUAAGGGAUUCACUCCAUAAAUUAACUGGAUAAAAGUACUUGGUUAGGAUAUAGUUGAUGGCUGAGCUGUUCUUAAAACCCAGCUAUAGAGCUGUCUCUCACUCCUGUUUUCAUUCUAAACAGGCCCUGUAGAGACUUAAGUAGCCUCCUGUUACAACUGUUCAACUUGUCAAAAUGUAUUAUAUUACUCCACUAAUAAAUAGUAUUAAAGGGUAUUUGACUUCAUUUCUCGUUUUCAGAGGGGAUCAGGUUGAUAAACACAACUGGCAUACAUUGGCCUUAUUUUAAUUUGUUUAUGUCACCUAAGUAAUAUUGAAGGUACACGGUUUGAAUUUGUAAACAUUACUUUCCUGGAGAUGUAAAACUUACAAAAUAUUAUGUACAAUGGAAGCAAUUAAUGAAGGCUAUUAGAGAAUUUUUAUCCUUGAAAGAUAUAUGAAUUUGACAUUUUUAGCUCUCAUUCAAAGUAUUAGAAAACCCCAUAGCUAAACUAACAUUCUUUGAAGCAUGACUAGACUAAUUAUUUUGCCAAUCAUUUUAUUUUUUUUUUUGGGAAAAAAAGUUACAGGAUACAUUGAUUUCAUAAUUUUCUUUUGCUUACCAUUGUCCCCGUAUCAGUUUUUGAGAAUUUAUUUAUCAUUUCUUUUCUAUUUUAUUUUUUGUAUUUUUCAAAACAAUACAUGGACUGGGUGCGGUGGCUUGCGCCUGUAAUCCCAGCACUUUGGGAGGCCGAGGCCAGUGGAUCACUUGAGGUCAGGAGUUCAAAACCA
rnacentral:lncRNA from 10 species